rnacentral:rRNA from 1 species
CUCAGGACGAACGCUGGCGGCGCGCCUAACACAUGCAAGUCGAACGAGCGAGAGAGAGCUUGCUUUCUCGAGCGAGUGGCGAACGGGUGAGUAACGCGUGAGGAACCUGCCUCGAAGAGGGGGACAACAGUUGGAAACGACUGCUAAUACCGCAUAAGCCCACGGCUCGGCAUCGAGCAGAGGGAAAAGGAGCAAUCCGCUUUGAGAUGGCCUCGCGUCCGAUUAGCUAGUUGGUGAGGUAACGGCCCACCAAGGCAACGAUCGGUAGCCGGACUGAGAGGUUGAACGGCCACAUUGGGACUGAGACACGGCCCAGACUCCUACGGGAGGCAGCAGUGGGGAAUAUUGCACAAUGGGGGAAACCCUGAUGCAGCGACGCCGCGUGGAGGAAGAAGGUCUUCGGAUUGUAAACUCCUGUUGUUGGGGAAGAUAAUGACGGUACCCAACAAGGAAGUGACGGCUAACUACGUGCCAGCAGCCGCGGUAAAACGUAGGUCACAAGCGUUGUCCGGAAUUACUGGGUGUAAAGGGAGCGCAGGCGGGAAGACAAGUUGGAAGUGAAAUCUAUGGGCUCAACCCAUAAACUGCUUUCAAAACUGUUUUUCUUGAGUAGUGCAGAGGUAGGCGGAAUUCCCGGUGUAGCGGUGGAAUGCGUAGAUAUCGGGAGGAACACCAGUGGCGAAGGCGGCCUACUGGGCACCAACUGACGCUGAGGCUCGAAAGUGUGGGUAGCAAACAGGAUUAGAUACCCUGGUAGUCCACACCGUAAACGAUGAUUACUAGGUGUUGGAGGAUUGACCCCUUCAGUGCCGCAGUUAACACAAUAAGUAAUCCACCUGGGGAGUACGACCGCAAGGUUGAAACUCAAAUGAAUUGACGG